AGUGAACGCUGGCGGUAGGCCUAACACAUGCAAGUCGAACGGAAGCACAGUAAGCUCUUGCCCUUAACGGUGGCGACUGGCGGACGAGUGAGGAAUACAUCGGCAUCUUCUUUUUCGUGGGGGACAACGUAGAGACACUUCUGCUAAUACCGCAUAUGUCCUACCGCUUAAAGCAGGAGUUCUUCGCACCUUUCGCGUUUCUUUGAGCUGAUGUCGGAUUAGCUAGUUGGUGAGGUAAAGGCCCACCAAGGCGACGAUCCGUAGCUGGUCUGAGAGGAUGAUCGGCCACACUGGAACUGAGACACGGUCCAGACUCCUACGGGAGGCAGCAGUAGGGAAUAUUGGGCAAUGGGCGAAAGCCUGACGCAGCAAUACCGCGUGAGUGAAGAAGGUCUUCGGGUUGUAAAACCCUUUUAUUAGGGAAGAAAAGCAGUAGAUGAAUACAUCGAUGUCCUGACGGUACCUAAUGAAAAAGCAACGGCUAACUACGUG
rnacentral:rRNA from 1 species